GGGGGCGAUUGGCUUCGACGGGACUGGUGAAGCUGUGGGCGCGUGCCGAGGUCCUCGGGAACCUCGUUAAACACUCGGGAAAACACCAACUGCGAACAACAACUUCGCUCUUGCCGCUUAACUUUUAGUUAAGCCCGCAGGUGCCCACAGGGAAGCCCGCCCGGGGCGGCUCAGUGGGUAACGCAAAUCUGGGCUAGUCCGGCGGUGCGCCUUCCGCCAUCGGAUGAAAGCUUGAAGGAUUACCCAGCGGUGGGCUGCCCACUGGCCAGCCGACGGGGACAUCAAUCAGCGGGAUACGCACGUAGUGCCUGUGGUCGAUCUAGCUUCGGACCGGGGUUCGAUUCCCCGCGCCUCCAUUA
rnacentral:tmRNA from 1 species